rnacentral:rRNA from 1 species
UUGAACGCUGGCGGCAGGCCUAACACAUGCAAGUCGAGCGGAUGAAGGGAGCUUGCUCCUGGAUUCAGCGGCGGACGGGUGAGUAAUGCCUAGGAAUCUGCCUGGUAGUGGGAGAUAACGUCCGGAAACGGGCGCUAAUACCGCAUACGUCCUGAGGGAGAAAGUGGGGGAUCUUCGGACCUCACGCUAUCAGAUGAGCCUAGGUCGGAUUAGCUAGUUGGUGGGGUAAAGGCCUACCAAGGCGACGAUCCGUAACUGGUCUGAGAGGAUGAUCAGUCACACUGGAACUAAGACACGGUCCAGACUCCUACGGGAGGCAGCAGUGGGGAAUAUUGGACAAUGGGCGAAAGCCUGAUCCAGCCAUGCCGCGUGUGUGAAGAAGGUCUUCGGAUUGUAAAGCACUUUAAGUUGGGAGGAAGGGCAGUAAGUUAAUACCUUGCUGUUUUGACGUUACCAACAGAAUAAGCACCGGCUAACUUCGUG